rnacentral:rRNA from 1 species
GUCGAGCGAGAACCAGUCCUUCGGGACUGGGGACAGCGGCGAACGGGUGAGUAACACGUGGGUAAUCAACCCUCGGUACUGGGAUAGCCCGGGGAAACCCGGAUUAAUACCGGAUGGCCCUUUGGAUCUUCGGAUCUGACGGAAAAGGUAGCUUCGGCCUCCGACCGAGGACGAGCCCGCGGCGGAUUAGCUUGUUGGUGGGGUAACGGCCUACCAAGGCGACGAUCCGUAGCUGGUCUGAGAGGACGAUCAGCCACACUGGGACUGAGACACGGCCCAGACUCCUACGGGAGGCAGCAGUGGGGAAUCUUGCGCUAAUGCGGGAAACCGUGACGCAGCGACGCCGCGUGAGGGAAGAAGGCCUUCGGGUUGUAAACCUCUUUCAGGAGGGACGAAGCCACUCGGGUGAAUAGCCCAGAGGGUGACGGUACCUCCAGAAGAAGCCCCGGCUAACUACGUGCCAGCAGCCGCGGUAAUACGUAGGGGGCAAGCGUUGUCCGGAUUUAUUGGGCGUAAAGAGCGUGUAGGCGGCUAGAUAGGUCCGUUGUGAAAACUCGAGGCUCAACCUCGAGACGCCGGUGGAAACCAUCUAGCUAGAGUCCGGAAGAGGAGAGUGGAAUUCCUGGUGUAGCGGUGAAAUGCGCAGAUAUCAGGAAGAACACCCGUGGCGAAGGCGGCUCUCUGGUACGUGACUGACGCUGAGACGCGAAAGCGUGGGGAGCGAACAGGAUUAGAUACCCUGGUAGUCCACGCCGUAAACGAUGGGUGCUAGGUGU